rnacentral:rRNA from 1 species
AUUGAACGCUGGCGGCAGGCCUAACACAUGCAAGUCGAGCGGAGCGGCGGACGGGUGAGUACUGCCUAGGAAUCUGCCUGGUCGUGGGGGAUAACGUCCGGAAACGGGCGCUAAUACCGCAUACUAUCAGAUGAGCCGAGGUCGUAGUAGCUAGUUGGUGGGGUAAAGCCCUACCAAGGCGACGAUCCGUAACUGGUCUGAGAGGAUGAUCAGUCACACUGGAACGUAGACACGUUCCAGCUGCCUACGGGAGGCAGCAGUGGUGAAUAUUGGACAAUGGGCGAAAGCCUGAUCCAGCCAUGCCGCGUGUGUGAAGAAGGUCUUCGGAUUGUAAAGCACUUUAAGUUUGGAGGCGUUACCAACAGAAUAAGCACCGGCUAACUUCGUGCCAGCAGCCGCGGUAAUUC